ACACCUCAACCCUCAUGGUUUGCCAUGAUGGGCUUGGACUUUGGGGGAAUUGCUGGAUUGCGGUCAGCUCCCCUUAAAUGAAUCAGCUUGCCAGUGUUUGGUGGCAUCACAGGUGUGAUAACUAUCUACGCUUGUGGUUUUACAUCAGAUAACCUUCAUGAUGGAGGUUCACUGGAGCUCAUAAAUGUCCCUCCUCUGUGAGGACAGCACUUUGAAU
rnacentral:misc_RNA from 1 species